AGGAAAUUCAUGGAGGUACUAUUUAAUAUAUAUAAGUCACUGAAAUUUUGGUGUAAAUUAAUAUGUACAUUUGUUACCCCAAAUAAUUAGGUCAAAACAGUCAACCCAUAGGUUAAUACUAAACCCUAAUCGGCAAAAAAGACACACACCUCAUAAAUGUAUUUUAUCACAUGAAAAUGUACAUGGAACAUAAUUUAUUCAAAUACUACCUUAUUUGUCAUGAAUUGAUAUAAUUUUUCCAGAAUUUAUUUAAUAGGUUUUGACCUCCUAAAAAUUCAAUCUAAUUUCAGCUAGGCCUACUUUCUUUAUUUUCCUGGGAAUAAAAUAUAGAGUAUUUUUGCGUGCAACCAAGGAAAAUGGAAUCUAGGUAGUUUUAUCUAUCACCAGUAAAAUCCACCUUAAUUUAUCUUGCACAGAAAUUGAGUCAGAGAAUUAAAAAGAAGGGAGAGGAAAUAUAUCUGUAAAUUCUUUGAAAAUCAAUUGUGCAGUAGUUCACCGAAGAAACUACCCAUUUCUCUCUCUGCCAUGUGGGCUCAGCCUUGGUAGGACCCACCUGUCAAUCACUCAAGCUUGCCACCUCCUUCUCCAAGCCAGGAACGGCUGCCACGUCGCAUACACGCGCUAGCACCCCAGUGCGCCACCUCGCCGUCCACCGCAAUCCCGAUCUCCUCUAUAAAUAGCGUUGCUUUGCCCACCGACGAAGCCUUUCAUCCUCGCCGCGUUCCUCCCAAAACCCUAGCGAGAUCGUCUCGGGAGCUCCGGGAGCGAAUCCAUCUUCUCCGACGCCGUCGGGAUCCACCACUGUCGCCAUCUUUCUCUGGUGAGCUUCACCGCGGACCAACCGUGGGAACACGAUCCCCUAUCCACGCCUAAACCCUCGGUAGCUUUCCCCUAUCCACCAUGUGCUAAACUCAUCGGCGUCCUCGGUGUCCAGAGCGCAGCCACAGUUCGCAUCGCCGUUCCCGUCGACCCGGUGAAACCCUAGCUGAGCCACUGCGCCAGGGCAGUCGUCUAGAUCCCAGGCGCAAGACGCCCAAGUGAACUCAAGCUAAGUCACUGCCGUUGAAGAGAACCUUUUCGUCUUCUCCAAGUCCGGCCGCUGGCCAUCGCCGUCGAUUUCUCGUCCUCGGGAGGUUGGCCGCUCUUCGCUGUCACCGUCGCCCUGCCCGAUUCCGCCGCCGCCGGAGUUGUCUUCGCGUCACCACUGCUGUCCAAGCCUCGCCGAGCCCAGCGCGACCUCAAGUAAUUGAGUGUUGCGGGAAUAGUUGUUUCUCUCAGGAUUGGUCCUAUCAAGGGGUUUACCCUAGUCGGUUGCUUGUGGGGAAUUUGGGUAGACAUGCUUCCGAAGGACUUUAUCUAAUUAGUCGAAUGGCUAUAUGUAAGUAACUGUGUUAUCUGCCUCUAGUUAUGUCUAAGUCACCUUACAUGUAUUUGAGUUAAUACCAUGGCUUAGAUGAAAGUA